rnacentral:rRNA from 1 species
UUAUUAAUACCCCCAAAAGCACUCAAUAUUAAUUAAACAAACCAUUUUUCCCCCCAAGUAUGGGCGACAGAAAAGGAACACUCAGAGCAAUAGAAAAAGUACCGCAAGGGAAUGCUGAAAAAGAAGUGAAACAACUCAGUAAAGUUUAAAAAAGCAAAGAUUCACUCUUGUACCUUUUGCAUCAUGAUUUAGUCAGUAAAAAUAAGCAAAAGGCACUUUAGUUUGAUUUCCCGAAACUAAGUGAGCUACUCCAAGACAGCCUAAAAUAGGGCUAACCCGUCUCUGUGGCAAAAGAGUGGGAUGAGCUUAGAGUAGAGGUGAUAAACCUACCGAACUUAGUUAUAGCUGGUUGCCUGAGAAAUGAAUAGAAGUUCAGCUUUUUGGUUUCUCCCUUCAACCUGUUUAGCUAUAAACGAACCAAAGAAGCCAAAAAAGUUAAUUAAAGGGGGUACAGCUCCUUUAAACAAGAUACAACUUCACCAGCCGGGUAAAGAUCAUAUACAACCAAAGGGAAAAUGUUUUAGUGGGCCUAAAAGCAGCCACCUAUAAGAAAGCGUCAAAGCUCUUUCAUAUCACCACCACCCCCCAAUUCAGAUAAUAUACCCUAAACCCGCUAAUUUUAUCAAGCCGCCCUAUGCUACCAUAGGGGUGAUUAUGCUAAAAUGAGUAAUAAGAAAAGUCACCUUUUCUCCUUGCACUCGUGUAAAUCGAAACGGACCCCCCAUCGAUCAUUAAUCGGCCCCAAAAAAAGAGGGCAAUGAACUAUUAAUCCCAACAACAAGAAAAACACCCAAAUAUCAACCGUUAACCUCACACCAGUACGCUCACAAGGAAAGACUAAAAGAAAAAGAAGGAACUCGGCAAAUACAAGCCUCGCCUGUUUACCAAAAACAUCGCCUCUUGAAAACUAACCAUAAGAGGUCC